GACGAACGCUGGCGGCGUGCCUAAUACAUGCAAGUUGAGCGCUGAAGGUUGGUACUUGUACCGACUGGAUGAGCAGCGAACGGGUGAGUAACGCGUGGGGAAUCUGCCUUUGAGCGGGGGACAACAUUUGGAAACGAAUGCUAAUACCGCAUAAAAACUUUAAACACAAGUUUUAAGUUUGAAAGAUGCAAUUGCAUCACUCAAAGAUGAUCCCGCGUUGUAUUAGCUAGUUGGUGAGGUAAAGGCUCACCAAGGCGAUGAUACAUAGCCGACCUGAGAGGGUGAUCGGCCACAUUGGGACGGAGACACGGCCCAAACUCCUACGGGAGGCAGCAGUAGGGAAUCUUCGGCAAGGGACGAAAGUCUGACCGAGCAACGCCGCGUGAGUGAAGAAGGUUGUCGGAUCGUAAAACUCUGUUGGUAGAGAAGAACGUUGGUGAGAGUGGAAAGCUCAUCAAGUGACGGUAACUACCCAGAAAGGGACGGCUAACUACGUG
rnacentral:rRNA from 1 species